UGUGCUAAGUGGGGAGUUAGCGGUGCCCUGUACCUGCAAUCCGCUACAGCAGGACUGAAUAUCUCUCUCGACGCAGCAGAUGGAAGGACUGCGCUCUGCAAGGGGCGUUGAUCGCAAGGUCUUAUGCAACCGGAAGCUGCGAACCGUGUCAGGAUAGGGAUAUAGCAGCACUAAACAGUCCGAAGGUGUGCCAUAAGGUAGCUUUGCGGGAGUUACCUGCAUUGUUU
rnacentral:SRP_RNA from 2 species